CUACAAUUUCUGUAAUUAAUAAUAAUAUGACCAUAGUAUGAUCAUGAAAGAAUGAUAAUUGCUCCAUUAAUGGUGAAGCUCCAUCUUGAAGAGAUAAAUUUGAUCAUGUUGCCAUUAAUAAAUAUUUUCUAAUAAAAGGUCAAACCUUUAUUUGUAGAGCUUAAAUCUACUGCACUAAUCUGCCAUAUUAGAAUCUAGAGAUUAAUGGUAAUUCUGAGUAACUAUGUUCUGCAGGAGGGUUAUUUUGUAGUCAUUCUGUUGAUCUUCUUAUGUUAGCUCUAAAUAUAAUUGCUCGGUUUGUAAUCAUUCUUUCUCAUAUAAUUACAAUGAAUAUAAUGAUUCCUACAAUAGAAAUUGUAGACCCAAUUCUUGAUACUACGUUUCAUGAUGUAUAUGCGUCUGGGUAGUCAGAGUAUCGUCGAGGUAUUCCUGCUAAUCCUAGGAAGUGUUGAGGAAAGAAUGUUAAAUUUACUCCAAUGAAUAUAAUUGUAAAUUGGAUUUUUAAUCAUGUAUUAUUUAUAGUUAAUCCUGUAAAUAGUGGAUAUCAUUGAAUGACACCUCCUAUAAUUGCAAAUACUGCUCCUAUAGAUAAUACAUAAUGAAAGUGGGCUACUACAUAAUAUGUAUCAUGUAAUACAAUAUCAAGUGAUGAAUUUGCUAAUACUAAUCCUGUUAAUCCACCAAUUGUAAAUAGGAAAAUAAAUCCUAGAGCUCAUAAUAAUGGUGGAUUGAACUUGAAUUUAGUUCCAUAUAAUGUAGCUAAUCAUCUAAAUACCUUAAUUCCUGUAGGUACAGCAAUAAUUAUUGUUACUGAUGUAAAAUAUGCUCGUGUGUCAACAUCCAUUCCUACUGUAAAUAUAUGAUGUGCUCAUACAAUAAAUCCUAUUAGUCCAAUUGAUAGUAUAGCAUAAAUUAUACCUAAUGUUCCAAAUGAUUCAAUUUUUCCUCUUUCUUGACAUACAAUAUGUGAAAUAAUUCCGAACCCCGGUAGAAUUAAAAUAUAAACUUCUGGGUGUCCAAAGAAUCAAAAUAGAUGUUGAUAUAGAAUUGGGUCACCCCCUCCUGCAGGGUCAAAGAAUGAUGUAUUUAAAUUUCGAUCUGUUAAUAAUAUAGUAAUAGCUCCUGCUAAAACUGGAAGUGAAAGAAGGAGAAGUAAUGCUGUAAUAGCUACAGAUCAUACAAAUAAAGGUGUUUGAUCUAAAGUUAUACUUUCUGAUCGUAUAUUAAUUGCUGUUGUAAUGAAAUUCACUGCACCAAGAAUAGAUGAUACACCUGCUAAGUGCAGUGAAAAAAUAGCUAGAUCUACAGAUGCACCCCCGUGUGCAAUAGCUCCUGCUAGAGGAGGGUAAACUGUUCAUCCUGUACCAGCACCAUUAUCUACUAUAGAAGAUGUAAGAAGAAGGGUUAGUGAAGGUGGUAGUAAUCAAAAACUUAUAUUAUUUAUUCGUGGAAAUGCUAUAUCUGGUGCACCAAUUAUUAGUGGAACAA